UAUAGAUCUAACAGACAGACAGACAGACAGACAGACAGACAGACGGGUUAGAGGUCAGAGGUUAUAGAUCAGACAAAGUGACUCCUCCUGCUAUCACCAGGUUCCUCCUGUGAGGAGAGAUGUCCUUCCCCUCAUAGCGGUUAUAGAUCUAACAGACAGACAGACGGACAUACAGGGGUUAAAGGUCAGGGGUUAUAGAUCUGACAGACAUACAGGGGUUAUAGGUCAGACAGACUGGGUUAGAGGUUAUAGAUCAGACAGACUGGGUUAAAGGUCAGGGAUCUGACAGACAGAUGGAGGUUACAGGUCAGGGGUCAUGGAUCUGACAGAUGGAGGUUAAACGUCAGGGGUCAUGGAUCUGACAGAUGGGGGUUACAGGUCAGGGGUCAUGAUCUGACAGAUGGAAGUUACAGGUCAGGGGUCAUGGAUCUGACAGACAGGGUUAGGUCAGGGGUCAUGGAUCUGACAGACAGGGUUAGGUCAGGGGUCACCGUACUGUGAGGAGAACCAUGACUCUCGACUUACUGAAAACACAUCAGGAGUGAUGCAGUGGUUCCAUCUAUUGGCUAACGUUAUUAUUCUGUCUGUGUUCAUAUAAAACAACUAUCUGUAUUAUUCUGUGUUCAUAUAAAACAACCAUCUGUAUUAUUCUGUCUGUUCAUAUAAAACUGUAUUAUUCUGUGUUCAUAUAAAACUGUAUUAUUCUGUGUUCAUAUAAAACAACUGUAUUAUUCUGUGUUCAUAAAAAACAACUGUAUUAUUCUGUGUUCAUAUAAAACAACUAUUAUUCUGUGUUCAUAUAAAACAACUAUUAUUCUGUGUUCAUAUAAAACAACUGUAUUAUUGUGUUCAUAUAAAACAACUAUUAUUCUGUGUUCAUAUAAAACAACUGUAUUAUUCUGUGUUCAUAUAAAACAACUGUAUUAUUCUGUGUUCAUAUAAAACAACUAUUAUUCUGUGUUCAUAUAAAACAACUAUUAUUCUGUGUUCAUAUAAAACAACUGUAUUAUUCUGUGUUCAUAUAAAACAACUAUUAUUCUGUGUUCAUAUAAAACAACUAUUAUUCUGUGUUCAUAUAAAACAACUGUAUUAUUCUGUGUUCAUAUAAAACAACUGUAUUAUUCUGUCUGUUCAUAUAAAACUGUAUUAUUCUGUGUUCAUAUAAAACAAGCCUGUGUAAUCAUUGACUCGUACACAGUAGUUGUUGGGAACAACGCUGCAGGUUAAGUUUUCCAGUACAUUCCUCCAUCUUUAGGCCACGAGCUUAUUAUCAUCUUUCUGGUUGAACAGAAGACAAGACUUCCACCUGAUCAUCCCGUUUACAGCACAGACCCAUUACUGAUGAACGGCUUCUCUGUGGUCUGGUCAUCUAUCUGUCAACACGACGGCUGAGGUCAUCUGAUGACCUCAGUCUGCCGUGUGUUUAGGGUCAGCUCACCUUCCUCCCCACGUACACAGGGAUGCCUAUGAUCAUGGCGGGGACGGCGAUGCCAGCGAUCAGAGCGAUGCCCACCGGAGCGCCCACCAGCGUGCCCAGCUGCCACAGGAUCUUCUUCUUCCUGCUCCACGGCUUCCUGCCCCAGAAGGUACAUCCUGACGGGCUGGGGAGGACGGACAGAGAUGAUAACAACCCAACCCUGACAGGCUGACCAGGGGACAGAGAUGAUUACAACCCAACCCUGACAGGCUGGGGAGGACGGACAGAGAUGAUAACAACCCAACCCUGACAGGCUGACCAGGGGACAGACAUGAUUACAACCCAACCCUGACAGGCUGACCAGGGGACAGAGAUGAUAACAACCCAACCCUGACAGGCUGGACAGAGAUGAUUACAACCCAACCCUGACAGGCUGACCAGGGGACAGAGAUGAUAACAACCCAACCCUGACGGGCUGACCAGGGGACAGAGAUGAUUACAACCCAACCCUGACAGGCUGACCAGGGGACAGAGAUGAUUACAACUCAACCCUGACAGGCUGACCAGGGGACAGAGAUGAUUACAACCCAACCCUGAUGGGCUGACCAGGGGACAGAGAUGAUUACAACUCAACCCUGACAGGCUGACCAGGGGACAGAGAUGAUAACAACCCAACCCUGACAGGCUGACCAGGGGACAGACAUGAUUACAACCCAACCCUGACAGGCUGACCAGGGGACAGAGAUGAUAACAACCCAACCCUGACAGGCUGGACAGAGAUGAUUACAACCCAACCCUGACGGGCUGACCAGGGGACAGAGAUGAUUACAACCCAACCCUGACAGGCUGACCAGGGGACAGAGAUGAUUACAACUCAACCCUGACAGGCUGACCAGGGGACAGAGAUGAUUACAACCCAACCCUGACGGGCUGACCAGGGGACAGAGAUUAUUACAACUCAACCCUGACAGGCUGACCAGGGGACAGAGAUGAUAACAACCCAACCCUGACAGGCUGACCAGGGGACAGACAUGAUUACAACCCAACCCUGACAGGCUGACCAGGGGACAGAGAUGAUAACAACCCAACCCUGACAGGCUGGACAGAGAUGAUUACAACCCAACCCUGACAGGCUGACCAGGGGACAGACAUGAUUACAACCCAACCCUGACAGGCUGACCAGGGGACAGAGAUGAUAACAACCCAACCCUGACAGGCUGGACAGAGAUGAUUACAACCCAACCCUGACAGGCUGACCAGGGGACAGAGAUGAUAACAACCCAACCCUGACAGGCUGACCAGGGGACAGAGAUGAUAACAACCCAACCCUGACAGGCUGACCAGGGGACAGAGAUGAUAACAACCCAACCCUGACAGGCUGACCAGGGGACAGAGAUGAUUACAACCCAACCCUGACAGGCUGACCAGGGGACAGACAUGAUUACAACCCAACCCUGACAGGCUGGGGAGGACGGAGAGAGAUGAUUACAACCCAACCCUGACAGGCUGACCAGGGGACAGAGAUGAUAACAACCCAACCCUGACAGGCUGGACAGAGAUGAUUACAACCCAACCCUGACAGGCUGACCAGGGGACAGAGAUGAUUACAACCCAACCCUGACAGGCUGGGGAGGACGGAGAGAUGAUUACAACCCAACCCUGACAGGCUGACCAGGGGACAGAGAUGAUAACAACCCAACCCUGACGGGCUGACCAGGGGACAGAGAUGAUUACAACCCAACCCUGACGGGCUGACCAGGGGACAGAGAUGAUUACAACUCAACCCUGACAGGCUGACCAGGGGACAGAGAUGAUUACAACCCAACCCUGACGGGCUGACCACGGGACAGACAUGAUUACAGCCCAACCCUGACAGGCUGACCAGGGGACAGAGAUGAUAACAACCCAACCCUGACAGGCUGGACAGAGAUGAUUACAACCCAACCCUGACAGGCUGGACAGAGAUGAUUACAACCCAACCCUGACAGGCUGACCAGGGGACAGUCUAGGGCAUAUAGCCUAGCAGAACUCUGGCUAUUCAGAGGCAGAACACUGUGGUUACUGUAUAGAUAGUGAUGUACUCCUCCCUGAGUGUUGACAGACUCCUCACCCCUCUGCCUCUCACCUCAGGUAGUGCAGGUCAGAGAUCUCCUUCAUGCAGAGCCAGCAGAACUCACAGCCGCACACGGCGCAGGUCAUGUGGUUACAACUGCCGUCGUUCAUCUUGAUGAUGUAAGCAGCGCAGCGCGGACAGGGCUUGAUGUCAUCGGCUGGGGAUGAAGGAAUAGAAAACGCUGUGUUUGUUGUUAAAACAGAAACAGUGGACCACACCUCCCCUUAAAAUCCCAGACAGCACAUACACCCUCUUCUUCGUCUAGAACAUUCCCAACCUGCCAGAGGCAGUAUUCCCGGUUCCCAUCUGGCCACACAAGGAGCUCGGUGGGAGAGGAGGGAAGGGAAAGACUAUGUCAUCUAUUUUAGGAUAAGGUUGUAACGUAAUAAAAUGUGAAAAACGUCAAGGCGUCUGAAAACUUUCUGAAUGAACGUAUCCCAGUUGAAAACCUUUUGGUUUGUUCUUCUCUGACAUAUAAGACGGUUCCAUAAAACCUAAAUAUAAUAUAAAAU